rnacentral:misc_RNA from 1 species
GUUCCAUAACCCGGAUUUUGGAGGAGCAGACCCCAUUACAAGCACGCCUUGAUAAACUGGCUUCUCAUAUUGGCCGGGUUGGAUUGUCAGUGGCUAUACUCGUUCUUGCAGUUCUGAUGAUUCGUUACUUUACUGGAAGCACCAGAGAUGAAAAUGGAAAGAGAGAGUACAAAGGAAGCAAGACAAGAGUCAGUGAUAUAGUCAAUUCAGUUGUGGAGAUGAUUGCAGCAGCAGUGACCAUUUUAGUGGUUGCAAUUCCAGAAGGUCUGCCUCUAGCUGUAACUCUAACUCUGGCCUACUCUAUGAUGCGAAUGAUAAAAGAUAAUGCCAUGGUUCGUAAACUUUCUGCCUGUGAAACAAUGGGUUCAGCUACAACAAUCUGCACAGAUAAAACAGGGACUCUUACUUUGAACAAGAUGACAGUUACAGAAUUUUGGCUCGGAAAAGAGCUAAUUAAGGAUGAUGCUUCAAAGGCAAUAGAACCAGAGAUCUUCAAGUUGCUACAGGAGGGGGUUGCCUUAAACACAACAGGUACCGUUGAUACGACACAUGCUUCAUCAAUUCCUGAGAUUUCUGGCAGUCCAACAGAAACGGCAAUACUUUCUUGGGCUGUUUUUGAUUUAAAUAUGAAUAUCAAUGAGACAAAACAAAAUUGUGAAGUAAUACAUGUAGAGGCAUUUAAUUCAGAGAAAAAAAGAAGUGGGAUAUUAACGAGGAAAAUUGAAGACAGAGAAAUUCAUACCCAUUGGAAGGGAGCAGCCGAGAUGAUAUUAGCCAUGUGUUCAAAUUAUUGUGUAGGAAGUGGAGCACUAAAAGGAAUGAAUGCAGAUGAUAGAUUGGAGUUUGAAAAAAUAAUUCAGUGUAUGGCAGCCAAAAGCCUGAGAUGUCUUGCCUUUGCCUACAAAAAAGUCACACAUGAUAAUGAGGAGGAGGUAUCUAAGAAGCUUGAAGAAGCUGAACUCACCUUACUGGGGUUUGUGGGACUGAAGGACCCAUGUCGUCCAGGGGUUAGAACAGCAGUAGAAUCAUGUAAGAAUGCAGGGGUGAAUGUUAAAAUGAUCACUGGUGACAACACGCUCACAGCAAGGUCUAUAGCUUUUGAAUGUGGAAUUCUUCAUCCUGAUGACGACAUAGAAAAAGCUGUAGUGGAAGGUUCACAAUUCAGAAAUUACUCCCCUGAAGAGAGAAUGACAAGGAUCGAAGAUAUUCGAGUAAUGGCAAGAUCAUCCCCAUUUGACAAACUUCUGAUGGUACAGUGCUUGAAACAGAAAGGCCAUGUGGUAGGAGUCACUGGUGAUGGCACAAACGAUGCUCCUGCGCUAAAGGAAGCAGAUAUUGGUCUUGCCAUGGGAAUUCAAGGGACAGAGGUGGCAAAGGAGAGCGCAGACAUAAUCAUCUUGGAUGAUAACUUUACCUCUGUAGUGACAGUAUUGCGGUGGGGAAGAAGUGUCUCCAAUAACAUUCAAAAGUUCCUUCAGUUUCAACUCACGGUCAAUGUUGCAGCUCUCGCUAUCAACUUUGUUGCAGCUGUUUCUUUCGGUAACGUCCCUUUAACUGCAGUUCAGCUAUUGUGGGUGAACCUCGUUAUGGACACCUUGGGAGCACUGGCCUUGGCCACUGAGCAGCCCACUAAUGAUCUCAUGGCAAAGCCACCUAUGGGUAGAUCAGAGCCACUUAUCACCAAAAUCAUGUGGAGGAAUCUCAUUGCCCAAGCCUUGUAUCAGUUAGCCGUCUUGCUUACUCUAGAAUUUAAAGCAAAUUCCAUCUUUGGUGUGAAUGAGAGGAUAAAGAAUACUAUCAUCUUCAAUACUUUUGUCCUGUGUCAAGUCUUUAAUGAGUUCAAUGCAAGGAAUAUGGAAAAGAAGAAUAUAUUCAAAGGGAUACAUAGGAACAAAUUGUUUAUAGUGAUCAUUGGAAUUACCAUAGUUCUUCAAGUGCUGAUGGUUGAGCUUCUGACGAGAUUUGCCGGUACAGAGAGGUUAAAUUGGGGGCAAUGGGGUGCUUGCAUUGGCAUUGCAGCUGUGUCUUGGCCAAUUGGUUUUCUAGCCAAGUGCAUUCCAGUUUCUGAAAAGCAGCUUCAAAACAAAUAGUUCCCAAAAACAUAAAAACAGCAACCCAGAAAUUGCAUGUCUUCAUUAUGAAAACCCAAUUGCAAAGCAUGGCAGAGCAAUGUCAAGACUAAGCUCAAAAUAAAUUCGACAAACCAGAAUAACUAAGGUCAAUUGUCGUUAUUUUCAAAUCAUGCUUUUGUUCUUAUAUUUGUAUAUACACUCUAAGAUCUGAAUAUA